AUAAAGAGAGCACGUGAAACAAACACAAAUAAAAAAGAAAGUUACUUUAGAAAAGAAGCAUUUCUAUUUUGAGUUCUGCAACUGGACAAUGAAGAUAGUAGAUGAUGUCUCUGAACUAUCAUCCCUCGUGACUUUGGCAUGGAGGCACAUUGUCAAUCAAGACAGAACAGAGUAAAAAUCCGAAUGAUGGGUUAUUGUUGGAUAUUCUGCAUCUUUGUUCCAUUCUCUGCCUGUCAGGAAAGGGCCAACAAUGAGGUUCCAGAAAAUGCAGUGGCAAUAUGGUAUGUUGGGUCACUGUCUGGCUAAGCUACCCCUCUUAUCCUUUGGGGACCUCUCUUUCCACCCCAACAGGCUUGCCUUGCUGAGGAUCGAGCCCUCUCACUGAGGGGAAGGCAGAUGUCUGCCCAGGAGUAAAUAGUACUAGUGCCGGGCAUGCUAGAAGCUAUUGUUUGUAUUCUACUUCUGAUCUAGGAAGAGAAUAUAUUAGUUUUACUGUGGGAAACCUCCAAGGAGAUACAAGGAGAGGCAACAUAGAGUCUCCAAAUUUGUCCACUAAUUAAAUGUUCAAAUUAUUAAAUAGAAAAUAAUGCAUACUGCUUAUGAAAUCAGAAAGACUGAAAAUUUUAAGGAUGGAAGGCCAAAUUAGUCAAUAUAUUAGGAUUUAGGUGAAGUUUGGUUUGCCGACACUAUUGCUAUCCACAGUCUCUCCUGACAUCCCCUCCAUUCCCACCUUGUAAGGCUCAUAGUUGGAUCACAAAACAGCACUACUGCCAGUAACCAAUUCCAUGUUGCAGAAGAUAGGUGAUUUUCUAACUAUCUCCUUAUCUUUUUGAUAAGAAGAUCUGUGAUUUUAAAAAAUAUUUUUUCAAGAUAGCUUACAAAGCAUUUUUGAAAUAU
rnacentral:lncRNA from 1 species